UUGUGUGAAUACAUAGCACAUUCGAGGUAGACGCAGAGAACUGAAACAUCUAAGUACCUGCAGGAAGAGAAAGAAAAUUCGAUUCCCUGAGUAGCGGCGAGCGAAACGGGAAAAGCCCAAACCAGCAAGCUUGCUUGUUGGGGUUGUAGGACUCCAAUAUGGUAGUUCUUUCAGAUAGUCGAAUGACUUGGAAAAGUCAGUCAAAGAGGGUAAAAACCCCGUAGACGAAAUGUGGAAGACACCUAGGAGGAUCCUGAGUACGGCGGAACACGAGAAAUUCCGUCGGAAUCCGGGAGGACCAUCUCCCAAGGCUAAAUACUCCCUAGUGACCGAUAGUGAACCAGUACCGUGAGGGAAAGGUGAAAAGCACCCCGGAAGGGGAGUGAAAUAGAACCUGAAACCGUGUGCCUACAACAAGUCAAAGCCCGUUAAUGGGUGAUGGCGUGCCUUUUGUAGAAUGAACCGGCGAGUUACGAUUGCAUGCGAGGUUAAGUUGAAGAGACGGAGCCGCAGCGAAAGCGAGUCUGAAUAGGGCGUUUGAGUAUGUAGUCGUAGACCCGAAACCAUGUGAUCUACCCAUGUCCAGGUUGAAGGUGCGGUAAAACGCACUGGAGGACCGAACCCACGUACGUUGAAAAGUGCGGGGAUGAGGUGUGGGUAGCGGAGAAAUUCCAAACGAACUUGGAGAUAGCUGGUUCUCUCCGAAAUAGCUUUAGGGCUAGCCUCGGAAUUGAGAAUGAUGGAGGUAGAGCACUGUUUGGACUAGGGGCCCAUCUCGGGUUACCGAAUUCAGAUAAACUCCGAAUGCCAUUCAUUCAUAUCCGGGAGUCAGACUGUGAGUGAUAAGAUCCAUAGUCGAAAGGGAAACAGCCCAGACCACCAGCUAAGGUCCCAAAAUAUAUGUUAAGUGGAAAAGGAUGUGGGGUUGCACAGACAACUAGGAUGUUGGCUUAGAAGCAGCCACCAUUUAAAGAGUGCGUAAUA
rnacentral:rRNA from 1 species